rnacentral:rRNA from 1 species
UACGGAGGGGGCUAGCGUUGUUCGGAAUUACUGGGCGUAAAGCGCACGUAGGCGGCUUUGCAAGUUAGAGGUGAAAGCCCAGGGCUUAACCCUGGAAUUGCCUUUAAAACUGCAUCGCUAGAAUUGUGGAGAGGUAAGUGGAAUUCCGAGUGUAGAGGUGAAAUUCGUAGAUAUUCGGAAGAACACCAGUGGCGAAGGCGGCUCACUGGACCGGUUCUGACGCUGAAGCGCGAAAGCGUGGGGAGCAAACGGG